rnacentral:rRNA from 1 species
UACAGAGGUCUCAAGCGUUUGUUCGGAUUCAUUGGGCGUAAAGGGUGCGUAGGUGGCGGGGCAAGUCAGGUGUGAAAUCUCGGGGCUCAACCCCGAAACUGCACUUGAUACUGCUUUGCUCGAGUACUGGAGAGGAGACUGGAAUUUACGGUGUAGCAGUGAAAUGCGUAGAUAUCGUAAGGAAGACCAGUGGCGGAAGGCGAGUCUCUGGACAGUUACUGACACUGAGGCACGAAGGCCAGGGGAGCAAACGGG